rnacentral:piRNA from 1 species
CCUUGGCAUGGGAAAGCCUGUACGACC